GUCUUUGUGGUGUAAUGGUAGUAGCGUGUCUCCGGUAUGGUUGAAACGCGGGUUCGAUUUCCGCCUGAGACC